GGUGGCUCAGGGUAGAGUACUUGCCUUGCAUGCAUGAGGCCCUGGGUUUGAUUCCUCAGCACCA
rfam:Dipodomys ordii contig_62618, whole genome shotgun sequence.